UGGGGAAUUUUGGACAAUGGGCGAAAGCCUGAUCCAGCAAUGCCGCGUGUGUGAAGAAGGCCCUCGGGUUGUAAAGCACUUUUGUCCGGAAAGAAAUCCUUGGCUCUAAUACAGUCGGGGGAUGACGGUACCGGAAGAAUAAGCACCGGCUAACUACGUGCCAGCAGCCGCGGUAAUACGUAGGGUGCAAGCGUUAAUCGGAAUUACUGGGCGUAAAGCGUGCGCAGGCGGUUUGCUAAGACCGAUGUGAAAUCCCCGGGCUCAACCUGGGAACUGCAUUGGUGACUGGCAGGCUAGAGUAUGGCAGAGGGGGGUAGAAUUCCACGUGUAGCAGUGAAAUGCGUAGAGAUGUGGAGGAAUACCGAUGGCGAAGGCAGCCCCCUGGGCCAAUACUGACGCUCAUGCACGAAAGCGUGGGGAGCAAACAGGAUUAGAUACCCUGGUAGUCCACGCCCUAAACGAUGUCAACUAGUUGUUGGGGAUUCAUUUCCUUAGUAACGUAGCUAACGCGUGAAGUUGACCGCCUGGGGGAGUACGGUCGCAAGAUUAAAACUCAAAUGAAUUGACGGGGUCAUA
rnacentral:rRNA from 1 species